rnacentral:tRNA from 1 species
AGGGUUUAGUUUAAUUAAAAUUUUGGAGUUGCAUUCCGAAGAUGCGGGGUAACGCCCGCAAGCCCUA